UUCCGGUUGAUCCUGCCGGACCCGACUGCUAUUUGGGUGAGAAUAAGCCAUGCGAGUCGAAUGGGAUACCUAAAUCUCCCAUGGCAAACUGCUCAGUAACACAUGAUCAACUUACCCUAUAGAGAAAAAUAACCUCGGGAAACUGAGGAUAAUGUUUCAUAGUUGAAUAGGCUUGGAAAAGUUUUUCAAUAAAAGGGAUAAGGAAAAUGGUCCUUAUACGCUAUAGGAUAGGAUCGUGUUCGAUUAUGGUUGUUGGUGAGGUAACGGCUCACCAAGCCGAUAAUCGAUAGGGGCCGUGAGAGCGGGAGCCCCGAGAUGGGUACUGAGACAACGACCCAGGCCUUACGAGGCGCAGCAGGCGCGGAACCUCCGCAAUACACGAAAGUGUGAUGGGGUUACCCAAAGUGUUCUAUUAAGAACUGUGGUAGGUGAGUAAUGUUCCCUACUAGAAAGGAGAGGGCAAGGCUGGUGCCAGCCGCCGCGGUAAAACCAGCUCUUCAAGUGGUCGGGAUAAUUAUUGGGCUUAAAGUGUCCGUAGCCGGUUUAGUAAGUUCCUGGUAAAAUCGGGUAGCUUAACUAUCUGCAUGCUAGGAAUACUGCUAUACUAGAGGGCGGGAGAGGUCUGAGGUACUACAGGGGUAGGGGUGAAAUCUUAUAAUCCUUGUAGGACCACCAGUGGCGAAGGCGUCAGACUGGAACGCGCCUGACGGUGAGGGACGAAAGCCAGGGGAGCGAACCGGAUUAGAUACCCGGGUAGUCCUGGCCGUAAACGAUGCAUACUAGGUGAUGGCACGGCCAUGAGCCAUGUCAGUGCCGUAGGGAAACCGUUAAGUGUGCCGCCUGGGAAGUACGGUCGCAAGGCUAAAACUUAAAGGAAUUGGCGGGGGAGCAC
rnacentral:rRNA from 1 species